rnacentral:rRNA from 1 species
GUAGGUGGGCAAGCGUUGUCCGGAAUUAUUGGGCGUAAAGCGCGCGCAGGGCGGUCCUUUAAGUCUGAUGUGAAAAGCCCACGGCUCAACCGUGGAGGGUCAUUGGAAACUGGGGGACUUGAGUACAGAAGAGAAAAGCGGAAUUCCAAGUGUAGCGGUGAAAUGCGUAGAGAUUUGGAGGAACACCAGUGGCGAAGGCGGCUUUCUGGUCUGUAACUGACGCUGAGGCGCGAAAGCGUGGGGAGCAAACAGGAUUAGAUACCCUGGUAGUCCACGCCGUAAACGAUGAGUGCUAAGUGUUAGGGGGUUUCCGCCCCUUAGUGCUGCAGCUAACGCAUUAAGCACUCCGCCUGGGGAGUACGGCCGCAAGGCUG